rnacentral:rRNA from 1 species
CCCUUAGAUGUUCUGGGCUGCACGCGCGCUACACUGAAGCGUUCAACGAGUAUUUCACCUUGCCCGGGAGGGUUGGGUAAUCUUUUUAAAACGCUUCGUGAUGGGGAUAGAUUAUUGCAAUUAUUAAUCUUCAACGAGGAAUUCCUAGUAAGCGCGAGUCAUCAGCUCGUGCUGAUUACGUCCCUGCCCUUUGUACACACCGCCCGUCGCACCUACCGAUUGAAUGGUCCGGUGAAAUCUCGGGAUUGUGGCCAGUUCACUUUAUUGGGAGUUGGCUGCGAGAACUUGCUUAAACCUUAUCAUUUAGAGGAAGGUGAAGUCGUAACA